rnacentral:rRNA from 1 species
GUGGGGAAUAUUGGACAAUGGGCGCAAGCCUGAUCCAGCCAUACCGCGUGGGUGAAGAAGGCCUUCGGGUUGUAAAGCCCUUUUGUUGGGAAAGAAAUCCUGUCGGUUAAUACCUGGCGGGGAUGACGGUACCCAAAAAAUAAGCACCGGCUAACUUCGUGCCAGCAGCCGCGGUAAUACGAAGGGUGCAAGCGUUACUCGGAAUUACUGGGCGUAAAGCGUGCGUAGGUGGUGGUUUAAGUCCGUUGUGAAAGCCCUGGGCUCAACCUGGGAAUUGCAGUGGAUACUGGAUCACUAGAGUGUGGUAGAGGGAUGCGGAAUUUCUGGUGUAGCAGUGAAAUGCGUAGAGAUCAGAAGGAACAUCCGUGGCGAAGGCGGCAUCCUGGGCCAACACUGACACUGAGGCACGAAAGCGUGGGGAGCAAACAGGAUUAGAAACCCGAGUAGUCC